rnacentral:rRNA from 1 species
UACAGAGGGUGCGAGCGUUGUCCGGAAUCACUGGGCGUAAAGGGCGCGUAGGUGGCGACCCAAGUCGAUGGUGAAAGCUCGCCGCUCAACGGCGAGUCGGCCACCGAUACUGGGUUGCUGGAGCACUGUAGAGGCAGAUGGAAUUCCGGGUGUAGCGGUGGAAUGCGUAGAUAUCGGAAGGAACACCAGUGGCGAAAGCGGCUUCCUGGUCCAGCACCGACGUUCAGGCACGAAAGCGUGGGGAGCAAACAGG